UGGCGGCGUGCUUAACACAUGCAAGUCGAACGAUGAACCAGGGGCUUGGCCCUGGGGAAAUUAGUGGCGAACGGGGUGAGUAACACGUGGGCAACCUGCCCCAGACACCGGGAUAACCAUCCGAAAGGAUGGCUAAUACCGGAUAUGACCACUUUGGGGCAUCCAACGGUGGUGGAAAGGAUUCUGGUCUGGGAUGGGCCCGCGGCCUAUCAGCUAGUUGGUGGGGUAAUGGGCCUACCAAGGCGACGACGGGUAGCCGGCCUGAGAGGGCGACCGGCCACACUGGGACUGAGACACGGCCCAGACUCCUACGGGAGGCAGCAGUGGGGAAUAUUGCGCAAUGGGGCGAAAGCCUGACGCAGCGACGCCGCGUGAGGGACGAAGGUCUUCGGAUUGUAAACCUCUUUCAGCAGGGACGAAGCGAAAGUGACUGUGCCUGCAGAAGAAGCACCGGCUAACUACGUG
rnacentral:rRNA from 1 species